AUUCAAUUAGUUUAUUAAAAAUUUUGGUUUGUGGAACUAAGGAAGAGCAUUUCAUUGAAUA
rnacentral:tRNA from 1 species